rnacentral:lncRNA from 1 species
AGAGCACCGGCAGAUCCGUCAAGGACAAGGUGCAGUCGGUCUCUUCAUCGGCGUCAAUGGCGAGGAGCGGCAGGGCGGCCGGGUCGGUGGACUCGGGCAGGGUCAGCGCCGCCGUGGCGGCGAGGAGGAAGGCGGAGGAGGAGAAGCGGCGCGCCGAGCAGGUGCUGCGCACCGUCAUGUUCCUCUCUGUCUGGGGUCCCAACACCUAGAAUUUGCAGACCAUCUGCGUGUAAUUGCUGCUAGCCUACUACUGUUGUGCUUGCGCAUGUUUCUGUUCGAGAUGAAGGAAUUGUAAAUGAUCUGAUAUAUGGACACAAAUCGAUCUGUUGAUUCUUCGAACAAGACUCUGGCUCUGUUGCUGAUCUCAAGAUAUCUCUGAUGUGUCUGCGUACCUAUUCGUUCUCUUUCAAAUCUGUUUUCUAAAGUGCUGCCAAGGUAAUGCACUGCUGCGACUGCUUGUUUCCUCGAGCUGUC